rfam:Stegodyphus mimosarum contig16697, whole genome shotgun sequence.
GCCUUCGUGGUGUAGUGGUUAGCACGCUCGGCGCUAAUUGGAGAGGUCCAUGGUUCGAGUCCCGGUGAGGGCA